UACGUGGGGGGCUAGCGUUGUCCGGAUUUAUUGGGCGUAAAGAGCGUGUAGGCGGCCAGGUAGGUCUGGUGUGAAAACUCGAGGCUUAACCUCGAGAUGUCAUCGGAAACCAUCUGGCUAGAGUCCGGAAGAGGAGAGUGGAAUUCCUGGUGUAGCGGUGAAAUGCGCAGAUAUCGGGAGGAACACCAAUGGCGAAGGCAGCUUGCUGGGACGGUACUGACGCUGAGGCGCGAAAGCGUGGGGAG
rnacentral:rRNA from 1 species